rnacentral:tmRNA from 1 species
GGGGGCGAAGGGUUUCGACGGAGUGAUGAUGGUGCCGAGGUGCAUGCCGAGGUUCCAGGCCUCCUCGUUAAUCCGACCUGGGACAAACAGUUCCCGAAAUGGGAUACGCCCUGGCCGCCUAACGAUAGGCGACCACGUCUCCAUUGACUUUUCCGAUUCGGUUAGUGGCAGACGGCAUAGAGGAUCGGAUAAGGUUGGUGAUGUCUCUAAGCCGACCCGAAUUCCCAGAGGCUGGCAGCUGUGGAUCCUGUCUCCUGGAGCCAUGGUUGUAAGAUAAAAGGGAGGCUAAGUAUGUAGUGCCCGUCACCUGAACACCCCGGACGCGGGUUCAAUUCCCGCCGCCUCCAAUU